CCUACGGGUGGCAGCAGUGAGGAAUAUUGGUCAAUGGACGCAAGUCUGAACCAGCCAUGCCGCGUGCAGGAAGACGGCUCUAUGAGUUGUAAACUGCUUUUGUACGAGGGUAAACGCAGAUACGCGUAUCUGUCUGAAAGUAUCGUACGAAUAAGGAUCGGCUAACUCCGUGCCAGCAGCCGCGGUAAUACGGAGGAUUCAAGCGUUAUCCGGAUUUAUUGGGUGUAAAGGGCGCGUAGGCGGUCGGAUAAGUUAGAGGUGAAAUCCUGAGGCUCAACUUCGGAAUUGCCUCUGAUACUGUUAGGCUAGAGAGUAGUUGCGGUAGGCGGAAUGUAUGGUGUAGCGGUGAAAUGCUUAGAGAUCAUACAGAACACCGAUUGCGAAGGCAGCUUACCAGGCUACUUCUGACGUUGAGGCACGAAAGCGUGGGGAGCAAACGGGAUUAGAUACCCCUGUAGUC
rnacentral:rRNA from 1 species